rnacentral:rRNA from 1 species
UGCGUAGGCGGAAUGAUAAGUUAGUGGUGAAAGCCCCCGGCUCAACCAGGGAACUGCCAUUAAUACUGUCAUUCUUGAGUAUAGUUGAAGUGGGCGGAAUGUAUCAUGUAGCGGUGAAAUGCUUAGAUAUGAUACAGAACACCGAUAGCGUAGGCAGCUUGCUAAACUAUAACUGACGCUCAGGCACGAAAGCGUGGGGAGCAAACAGGAUUAGAUACCCUGGUAGUCC